UACGUAGGGUGCAAGCGUUGUCCGGAAUUAUUGGGCGUAAAGAGCUCGUAGGCGGUCUGUCGCGUCGGCUGUGAAAACCCGUGGCUCAACCACGGGGCUGCAGUCGAUACGGGCAGACUAUAGUGCGGUAGGAGAGACUGGAAUUCCUGGUGUAGCGGUGAAAUGCGCAGAUAUCAGGAGGAACACCGGUGGCGAAGGCGGGUCUCUGGGUCGUAACUGACGCUGAGGAGCGAAAGCGUGGGGAGCGAACAG
rnacentral:rRNA from 1 species